GCUUGGAGCGUGUUUAGAGGAUGC
rnacentral:siRNA from 1 species